GAUGAACGCUGGCGGCGUGCCUAAUACAUGCAAGUCGAGCGAACAGAUGAGGAGCUUGCUCCUCUGACGUUAGCGGCGGACGGGUGAGUAACACGUGGAUAACCUACCUAUAAGACUGGGAUAACUUCGGGAAACCGGAGCUAAUACCGAUAAUAUAUUGAACCGCAUGGUUCAAUAGUGAAAGACGGUUUUGCUGUCACUUAUAGAUGGAUCCGCGCCGCAUUAGCUAGUUGGUAAGGUAACGGCUUACCAAGGCAACGAUGCGUAGCCGACCUGAGAGGGUGAUCGGCCACACUGGAACUGAGACACGGUCCAGACUCCUACGGGAGGCAGCAGUAGGGAAUCUUCCGCAAUGGGCGAAAGCCUGACGGAGCAACGCCGCGUGAGUGAUGAAGGUCUUCGGAUCGUAAAACUCUGUUAUUAGGGAAGAACAAAUGUGUAAGUAACUAUGCACGUCUUGACGGUACCUAAUCAGAAAGCCACGGCUAACUACGUG
rnacentral:rRNA from 1 species